AAAUAUUUCACUGUGGAAGGGGUGUGCACAGCAGGGUGGCCAAUGAUUUGUCAAUGGUGGCCAUGGCCACCCCCUGAGUCUUGGUAAAGUUUGACUAGUUACUGUCAUAUUGUGCAAAACAUGAAUGAGCUACUAUGAGUUUGCACAUAUUGUCUGUUCUAUAUUGUGCAGGAGACACAGCACAUCAGGACCUCAUUGGUUCAAAACAUGACAAGAGUCUGCGAGGUCAUCAGCAACUUGCCUGGUUUCAGCUGCCAACCAGUGGGAGGAGGAGCUUUUGUGUUCUUCAGAAUACAUCUUCCACCCAAGGCCAUCCAAACAGCCAAGGUUUCAGAACAUUCACUUUUUAAUGAAAUUAGGACAGUAAAACCAAAUUUUACACUUUUUUUAAGACAAGAUGUCUGAACAUUUUAGGAAGAAGGAAUGGAACCAGACACAUUUUACUGUAUGAAACUUAUGGAGGAAGCAGGAGUGGUGAGCAGUCCUGGUUGUGGGUUUGGUCAAAAAGAGGGAACAUAUCACAUCAGAAUUAGCAUCAUGACAUCUCAGGACAUCAUGGUGGAAUUACUGGAACGCCUGAGCACCUUUCAUGCAAAGUUUUUUAAAGAGUUUUCUUAAACUAUAAAUAAAGAAAAACAUUACCAUCCAAAUUGAGGGUGGGGCACCCACAAACUUCUCUUGUUGGCAAGCACAUUUAUUUCAAUAAAUGACAAUUUACAAUGUAUUUUAAUGACAUUUGUUUUUACUCAGUCUAUAAUCGAACACUGCUUUUCAGAUAGCAGUUAACCACUCUGCUAACAAAAAACAAAGUCCAAAAUCCAUAGGAUAGAUUUUUUUCCCCCCAACUCUUAAUGGAGUUACAAAGAAAAUAAAGCAGGMGCCAACAGUUCACUUUGGACUUCAGCCUGACAGCUUCCAUUUACUAACAUUAACAGAUUGCUGUAAGUACUUAGAAAAAAAGGAAACAAAA